CAGGGAUUAGCUUAGUCUGGUUAAAGUUCGCGGCUUGGACCCGCGAGACGGUGGUUCAAAUCCAUCAUCCCUGA
rnacentral:tRNA from 1 species